GAUGAACGCUGGCGGCGUGCCUAAUACAUGCAAGUCGAGCGAACAGAUGAGGAGCUUGCUCCUCUGACGUUAGCGGCGGACGGGUGAGUAACACGUGGAUAACCUACCUAUAAGACUGGGAUAACUUCGGGAAACCGGAGCUAAUACCGGAUAAUAUAUUGAACCGCAUGGUUCAAUAGUGAAAGACGGUUUUGCUGUCACUUAUAGAUGGAUCCGCGCCGCAUUAGCUAGUUGGUAAGGUAACGGCUUACCAAGGCAACGAUGCGUAGCCGACCUGAGAGGGUGAUCGGCCACACUGGAACUGAGAGACGGUCCAGACUCCUACGGGAGGCAGCAGUAGGGAAUCUUCCGCAGUGGGCGAAAGCCUGACGGAGCAACGCCGCGUGAGUGAUGAAGGUCUUCGGAUCGUAAAACUCUGUUAUUAGGGAAGAACAAAUGUGUAAGUAACUAUGCACGUCUUGACGGUACCUAAUCAGAAAGCCACGGCUAACUACGU
rnacentral:rRNA from 1 species